GCUCCAAUAGCGUAUAUUUAAGUUGUUGCAGUUAAAAAGCUCGUAGUUGGAUUUCGGGCGUGGAAGUUCGGUCCGCCGUUUGGUGUGCACUGGCUGGUUUCAACUUCCUGCGGAGGACGCGCUCUGGGCUUAACGGUCUGGACGUGGAGUCCGCGUGGUUACUUUGAAAAAAUUAGAGUGUUCAAGCGGGCUUACGCUUG
rnacentral:rRNA from 1 species